rnacentral:rRNA from 1 species
GAGACAGCAGCCGCCGCGGGAAUACGAAGGGUGCAAGCGUUACUCGGAAUUACUGGGCGUAAAGCGUGCGUAGGUGGUGGUUUAAGUCCGUUGUGAAAGCCCUGGGCUCAACCUGGGAAUUGCAGUGGAUACUGGGUCACUAGAGUGUGGUAGAGGAUAGUGGAAUUUCCGGUGUAGCAGUGAAAUUCGUAGAUAUUCGGAAGAACACCAGUGGCGAAGGCGACUACCUGGACUGAUACUGACACUGAGGUGCGAAAGCGUGGGGAGCAAACAGGAUUAGAUACCCGUGUAGUCCCUGUCUCUUAUAC